rnacentral:rRNA from 1 species
GACGAACGCUGGCGGCGUGCUUAAUACAUGCAAGUCGAGCGAGGCCCAUCCAGUGGCAACACUGGGGAAGGCCGAGCGGCGAACGGGUGAGUAACACGUGAGCAACCUGCCCCGAAGUCUGGAAUAACAUCGGGAAACCGGUGCUAAUACCGGAUUGCCCCACCUGACCGCAUGAUCGGGUGAGGAAAGAUUUAUCGCUUCGGGAGGGGCUCGCGGCCUAUCAGCUAGUUGGCGGGGUAACGGCCCACCAAGGCGUCGACGGGUAGCUGGUCUGAGAGGACGACCAGCCACACUGGGACUGAGACACGGCCCAGACUCCUACGGGAGGCAGCAGUAGGGAAUCUUGCGCAAUGGGCGAAAGCCUGACGCAGCAACGCCGCGUGGGGGAUGACGGCCU